rnacentral:lncRNA from 1 species
ACUCGAGAUUCCUAGACUGGCUUCAAUUGCUAAUCUCUGUAAUCACUAUAAUCUACUGGACUAUCUUACGGCACAAUAUCGCCUUAUCAAACUAUUUCGGACUUGAUUUGCAUCACUAUUGGCUUGCUUCUGAAAGUCAUUGAAUGCACGCGUCUCGAUAACUAUAUAUGAUAGCAACCAAUACUUCAGUUGAAGAAUAAUCCAGAGCAUCGUCUAACUUGCAGAUCAAAAUUAUAUCACUACCCUUCGUAAUAUAUACACACAGUAUAUACAAAUAAUAUAUAGAUGUAGUGCCAAACAAUAAAGCAAGUAGUCACGUCAGCACAUAAUAUAUAAUUUAUAUGCUUUAAUAAUUAUAUUAAUAUAUAAUCCAGUGAUACUUGUAUACAAUCUCAUAUCUGAUUAUAUACAAUCAACUAACACAUAAAUAAUACAUUCUUGGAUAUAAUCCACAUCCAAAUAUAAAUCAAGUCUUUCGGAAUUACAAUCCAAUUGUAAUUCAAACAUAUCUCGAAACAACUUAAAAUAAUCAAAUAAAAUAAUAAAUAAUAUAAAUUUGGACAGUGUGCAUUUUAAAAUGGAGCAAUUAUCAAAACUCAACAACACCAUACUCUCUGUCCAAAAUAAUACACACCACUCGUCCAAAUGUCAGAUCAUGAAAGCAUGCGUCUCAAAUAAUAAUCAGAUCAAAAAAAUUAAACAAUAAUGACAAUAUUAUAAUUAAAUGUCAUCCAGAAAAAAAAAUAGAUUUUGGAAUUUAAAUAGCAGUUUCCGGAGUUUAUAUAAAAUCUAAUAAUCGUCACAAACAAUUAAAAUACGGAAAUAAAGUCCCGACAAUAAACACAUGUCAUUUGCACUUCCAAUCACAAUUUAGUAUUCAAAUAUUUGAAUUUAAUUUCUAGAUGCAGGAUCCUUAGAACAAUGCGUAUAAUUAAAUCCGACUAAUUAUAUAACAACUAUUAUCUACCGAUAACAACUCCAGGUUUUAGAUAAGAUGCAAUCUAAAGAACUCGCGAUUAGCAACGACCUUCCCGAUCUGUACCAUGACUGUAAUCUAUUUCAUUCAAUCCCUCUACUACAAUUCAUCCCCUCUGCUUUUCUUCUCUACGGAUGUAAUAACCCAACCCCAACAAUGAAAAUAACCACCGCCGACCAAACUCCUAAACACCAAACUUUAGUACAGCCUAAACAUCUUCCCCUUAACCUUAUGCACCACAACUCAAUUACAUUCACAACCAACUCCAUAAACAACUAUAUCAUGUAAGCAUCAGCCUUUAACCCCUUUAAUUCAAUUUACCCUCACCCUGGACUAUCCCUCCCUUACCAACAGCCGUCACGUAUCCCUGCAACAACUCCUAUCGCCAACUCCCCUUCUCCCUUCAUUCCUCCCUGCAACAAUCGAUGGCAAAAUCACCGCUGCCCUCUUACAUGAACCCGCCACCACGACAACAAUCCCCACAACAACCUCUGUUACGAAAGUAACCUACUCACCUUCACCACAAUCUCUUCACCUUUGCCUGCGUGACUGCCGGCUCCGUUAACAACCACCACAAAACUCCCCCUUCUCACGAUACUGCCCUGCAGCUCCUAUAUAAUCCCGCGAUGUACCUCUGGCCAACGCGGCACUGCUGGCCCUGCAGCUAUCCAUCCAGCCACCAUACAAAUCCACCAUACCCACCAGCAACAACCCACCAUUUCGAUCCUUCCCCGGCGACACCCAACCAGCCUUCUUUCGACCAAAAACACAGCCACCAGUAUGAAAGCCACCAUCAUCUCUCCCUCAUAUACAAACUCAUAACCACCUUUAUCCCAUCGAUGUAACCCUCACACCACCGAGCAGCCCCCUUCAUCCACUAACCCGGCUGCUGCCGCCGCACAGCCAUGCCCUGGCCACAAAACGUGGCCUCGUCGCCACCUGUGCAACACCCCAACCCCUGUCUUGCCUCUCCUCGACUCCAGAUCAUCUCCGAACAGCGGCAAAGCUGCCGCCUCCCCAACCUUCGGUUUCGAACUACCACAACUCAAUCAACAUACAAUCGCACGCAUACAACUAUAGAUAUAAUAUAAGCAUGAUUCUCACCUGGAGAUGAUGCUUUAAUCGAUUGGAUUUAAAGGAAAGAACGCUGGUUGCUUUGGAUCCCCAAUUCCCCAAACCCUAAUUCCCCUCUGCUUCUUUCCCAAUUGCAGCCGACUGAAUAUAUAUGAUCGU